GUGACCGCAGGUCAAGGUGCAUCACGGAAAAAUGGCGGCUGAGGACAAUGUGUGUUUCGUUCGGAUGUUUACUCAUCUGAGUCUAAUUUCCGGUUGGAAGUAUCACAUGACCUGAUCACCUCCUCUGCAGACACUCGUUUGAAGCAACCACAGAAGUUACACAACUGCUGUCCUGCUUUUAAUGAUAAAGGUAUUUCUUCGUCUGAUGCUGUGAAGGCACAUCUGCUUCUGUUUCGACAUCCCUGCUCAAUGUUUGCUGUAUACUGAGAAAUUAUAGCAGUACUUCUAGUAUCGAUACUACUAUUAGUAUCACUAGUAUACAUUGUAUUCUUAACAACAAAUGUAACUCUAAUUUAUAUUACUACUUUUCUUAUUACUGAUACUACUUUAUGUCUCUGUGUUCUGCCUCUUAAAAGGAAGUUUUUCCUUUCCAUUGUUGCUGUGUGCUUGCUUAUUAUGGGAAUGAUUGGGUCUUAUACUAUAAAGACUAUGGCAUAUACCUGCUCUACAUGAAAAGUGCCUUGUGAUAACUUCUGUUGUGAUUCAGUAAUAUAUAAAUAAAACUCAAUCAUGCUUUA